UACGUAAGGACCGAGCGUUGUCCGGAAUCAUUGGGCGUAAAGGGUACGUAGGCGGUUAGAAAAGUUAGAAGUGAAAGGCUAUGGCUCAACUAUUGUAAGCUUUUAAAACUGUUUAACUUGAGUGAUGGAAGGGAGAGUGGAAUUCCUAGUGUAGCGGUGAAAUGCGUAGAUAUUAGGAGGGAUACCGGUGGCGAAGGCGACUGUCUGGCCAUUAACUGACGCUGAGGGACGAAAGCGUGGGGAGCAAACAGG
rnacentral:rRNA from 1 species